rnacentral:lncRNA from 1 species
CCCAGCCCCAGCCAACUCCCGGCACUGAACACUACAGGGAAUGGACUUCCGGCAGAUCUCACCCACCACCUGCACCACCCCAGCCAGCAGCAGCUCUGCAGCCCCGCCCACCCCAGCCAGCAGCAGCUCUGCAGCCCCGCCCACCCCAGCCAGCAGCAGCUCUGCAGCCCCGCCCACCCCAGCCAAUUGCAGCACUGCAGCCCCGCCCACCCCAGCCAAUUGCAGCACUGCAGCCCCGCCCACCCCAGCCAGCAGCGGCUCUGCAGCCCCGCCCACCCCAGCCCCCGACCAUUGGUGGAUGGAAGCCCCCCACCAUUGGCUCCCAGGCUUGCUGGCUAGGUGCGGGUCUAGGCAGCUUCCCAGCUCAGUGGGACUGGCCUGCUUUGGAACAGCGGCAGUGCCCAGGAAGCCUGUGAACUGGGCCUGCCAGGGAAGCCAUGGUGAGCUGGAAGCCAGCCAGGUGGGGUCAGGGAAGGCAGGGCCAUGCACACCACACCCUUCACUGCUGGGCUUCUAAGGGCAUUGGCCAGAUGAACAAGCACACGCAGAACUGAAUUGGCCCUGAUGGCCUGCAAGGGAGGGGGGCCCGGGGCCUGGGGCGUCAGCUGGGAUAUAUGGGGGCAGGGAGUCUCUGCAUGGCCGAUGUUUGAAUUAAAAUACAGCUUUCCCCUGUA